GCACCGCUGAAAAAAAAAAAAAAGUAAAGCAGCUAAAGCAAUUAAAUACUGUAAAUUCAGGAUCUGCAACAGAAAUUAAUUGCCUUCUUCCCUCCUGCAGAAUUUUCCUCAGAUGGUCCUACUUGUCUGUGGAAGGAAGUGAGCAAGGAAGACCUUGCAAAGCUUUGUAUAAUUGUUCUGUGAUCUUCAUCUCCUUUCUUGCACGUUUGAGGAGCAAACAAGUUAACAUUUAAAUAAGCAGCAGCAUGUUGCAGAUGGCUUGAAAUGACAGCUCUGACGCACAGACUGGGGCUCAGUGCUGCACUGGUAACCUUUAGAAAGGGAGAGAAUAAUCUCCAGCUGCUGCAGACGCUGAGAGUGCAACUUCCAGCAUGAAAAGUGGGGCACUGGUGAGCAGCCGCCAUGCCCUGAGGUGAUUCCUGGCACAGCUUUUUGAACUCCCACCGUCCAUCUCAGAAACACCGCGCUAAGCCCAGACAGGGCUUGGGCAAGGCACGGCCUGGCUCUCAUACAUUGUCACAGGAUAUCACACAGAGAGUCAUCAUGUGUGAACUGCACAAAUAAAACACUGCAAAGCUAAAAGGGGCAACUGUGGUAAUGCUUUACAACACAGGAUCACCUUUCAGCUAACAUUCUAGUACACAGGAUUGCUGAGUGACAGUGUAUUUGUAAAACAAACACUGUAAGUGUUCAUCUGUUGAGAUUCCAACUUACUAAUUCAUUAAGUAGGCCAAGCUAGUGUUGCCACACUUAAAUAUAGCUUUGAAUUUAAUUUUCUUCUCCUUUUCUGCUUCUAUUUCUUCAUGUAACUGAUACAAUCUUGGAGUUUCCUUCUAAAAUUUGCUUAUAUUUGUGCUAUUUACAGCAAAGCUGACAUUAAGAAAAUCCACGAGCAACAGGCCCCAUUUCAAGUGGAGACUAAUACAACUCCUGGUAUGUGGCUGCUCCUUUUCUAACGCAGAAUGUCACCACAGCCCUUCCAGUGCUGCACUAACAGCAGCCCACAGGGCAGUGGGGUCCUGCCGCGAAUGCGGUCACUGAGCAGGGAGUGGUUCUGGAUUUUGUCUCAUGCAUUUCUUUCUGGGAGUGCAGGAUGCACCAGCACAGCUGCUCUGCCAGUGAGGGAGCCCGCUGGCUUUUAGUAACAUGGCAGGAACAUUCCCAGUCCCCCUGGGAGAAGGCAGAUGGUGGUUGUGCACAUCUGGUGAAGGGGUGGGGGCACCGGGGUCAAGUGCGUUGGUAACACAGAGCAACCGCAAAGCUGUGCCUAUAAAUACACACCCACUGCUGCAGGAUGGUGGGCUCUGGAGGCAGAGCUGUAUUUAUGUUUGCUGCUACUUCCAACAAACAAGCCUUUGGAGGAACCCUUCGUUCCUGCACGAAGAGUUCACAGAUUUGAAGGCAGCGCUGCUCCCUGGUAGGUGCCUGCUGGCAGCUGGCAGCAGUAGGCAGUGAAUCAGGCAAGGCUUAAGGAAAGCAAAAGUACUGAAGAGUGAUAUUCAGCCCAUGUUUCACACACACAGGCUUCUCCUGGCAUAAGAUGCUAAGAGAGGAGCAGCCAAGAUCCCUGUGUGAUGCUGUAGCUCUGAGAAGCCUCAGAUGAGCCCAUCAAACCUGACAAACCAGAGGAGAUGGUAGGAACAUACAGGGUCACAAUACACUUGGGGCCUGGGAGUAAAGCUGCUGCCACAUCAGCAAGGGCUUGGCCCCUCCUCAAUGACUCGAGCCCAUCUGUGUCAAGAGCAUCGCUGGGAACUUCCAGCAAAGUUCAUUUAUCAGCAAGUGGAAGAAGCUCCUGAGGCCUGUGCUCAGUUCACUGGAGAGACGAGUCUGAGCUUUGGGUUCCAAGAAGCCAAUGACAGCUACGGCAGCCCGGCCCCACGAGCUGUCCUGGGGCUGCUCCCGCUCCUGCCAGCACUUCCCAUCCCCAGAAAUGCCGGUGCUGAUCCGCCAGCCUCACUGCCAGAGCACCAGGAGGAGCUGGCUGUCCCCACAUACAGUCCCUCUUAAUGGAGUUUGACAGGAGAGACUGAAGCGUGCAGCUCUGCAACCAAAGAACCUGAGGCAGCUUCACUUCUGAGCUCAGGAUGGGAAUGAAAUGGCACAGCACGAGCUUCACCUGCAGGACAAGCGAGGAGCAGGAGACAGCUGUGGUUAUUCCAGCCUGCACAAUGAGGAGCUCAGAGGUGUGCUGGCAGAGACACCUGGCUGCCAGCCAGGGUUGAUGGAUGCUGGAGUGCUGCAGCCUCCUCUCCCGGCCGCGCUCUUUCCCUGCGGCAGAGGCAGCGCUGACGGAACCCAGCACACAGAUGGGGCUUUCACAGCGCUCCCCAAACUGCCAUUUGUCCCUGCCCCGGGCAGGUGAGUGGUCAGAGCAACUCCCCAGCUCAGAACUGCAGCUUGUUAUGGAAAUAAACCCUUCACUGGGCCUGGCUUUCAACUCUGCUUCAGCAAGGGGGAGCUUGAAUAAGGGGAGUUAACACACACUUUAAUGGUAAAGGUAAGAAUUUGGCCCUUGAAUGGGUGAACUGUCCUUCAGACUGGCUCAAAUCCUGUCAUGUCUAAUAGGGUUUCUUUUAUGGAAGAAAAUUUGAGGUUUCAAGCUUAAUUUUAAGAAAAAAAUGCCCAUGACACUUAAAGAAGUGUUCCUUUCAACCCAAUCCCUGCUCAGGGAGGACACCUGCAGCAGGGUCAUCUCAUACAACUUUAAAUGUCUGCAGGGCAGCUGGCUGCCUGAGAGAGCUCCUGUGUCCCAGCCCACACUGCACUCACUGAACAGAGAAAAUGGCAGCUUUCAGGACACAGUGCAACUGACCUAUUUUAGGUACCUGCUUCAGGAUGAGAUGAAUCAGCCCCAGCAGCACCUGUUUCUCUCUGUUGACUAUAAAGGGAGUCCGGAAAAUAUACCUCUGGCCAGGUAAAUACCACCCCUCGUGCUGAAUAGAAGCAGAAGGAAAUGCACAAAAAUGCUCAGAACAGGACUAAUUCAUGCCAUUCACACCACAUUGCAAGCGAAGCAUUUAAGACCUACAGAGCGGAAGAAGCACUCCAAUUAGCUUUAAUAUGAAGCUAGAAGGAUCCUGGUAACACGAGGAAAUUAAUAUCUAGGCAGCAGGCCCCUAGAGUAAUUGCACAGUUGUUACAACGGGAAGUUGCAGAAAAUUACCAUUUGCAAGGUUGCAGCAAACAAAAAGAUAAUAUCUUGAUGUAGGCCAGUGCAGGGAUCUGAAGGUUCCAAACAUCCAAAGUUCAACUCACACAGCUGAAAUGACUACGGGUGGAAAAAGCCUGAAGAGGAUGACUGAUAGAAGAGCAAGAUGCCUGCAGUUCAGCUAAGGUUCAUAUGAGACACAAAAAGAGCAGGCUCAGAAACCUUCCAGUAGAGUAUUAAAGAAAAUAUGAGUGAUUCAUGGUCAUACUAGUGACUGAUGUCUGCUUGCCUGCCUUACAUAUGGAUAAACAGCCAUGCAAAAUGAAUAAAGGAUUCAAUUAAAGGAUUGAAAGGAAAACUUAA